rnacentral:sRNA from 1 species
CCUGACUUCUGCCGCGAAUGUGAAGCUACGGCGAAUUCUCGGCUGAAUUUUCGCACCAGCUUC